UACGGAGGAUGCAAGCGUUAUCCGGAUUCAUUGGGUUUAAAGGGUGCGCAGGCGGAAUAAUAAGUCAGUGGUGAAAUCUCCCGGCUCAACCGGGAAACUGCCAUUGAUACUGCUAUUCUUGAGUACAGUUGAAGUGGGCGGAAUGUGUCAUGUAGCGGUGAAAUGCUUAGAUAUGACACAGAACACCGAUAGCGAAGGCAGCUCACUAAGCUGUAACUGACGCUCAUGCACGAAAGCGUGGGGAUCAAACAGG
rnacentral:rRNA from 1 species